UUUUUAGUACUAUGUACUUUUUUAAAAAUAUAUACAACUAUAAUUAUUAAUAUUAAUUAAUGUCAAGAAGUUUUCAUCCCCGGAAUCAGGUUCUUGGUUUGGCAACUGGCUCUAGGCGAUAUUGUUUAUACCCCCAUAUUAGUAUGCACCCUCUCUUGUGAUUAGUAUUUCAUUUUUAUUUAAUUUUAUUAUUUGAUUAGUAAUUAAUUAUUUUUUAUUAUUAUUAGAGUAAGUUGAUUGUAAUUCAAUUAAUUAUUUGCAUGAUUGCUAAGUGGAUUUUAUUUGAUUAUUUGUUCAAUUGAUUUCAAUGUGUUUAGAUUAAUUAGGUAAUCCAUGUCCUACUACACAUGUAAAUAAUUUCACAAAACUUUCCACAAUUUCCAAUCACUUUCAAAAUCAAUUUUUUUUACUCAAUUUCAAAAUUAACUUCAAACAAUUUUCACUAACGCAAGUGCCUGAUCCAAAGUUGAAGAAAAC
rnacentral:lncRNA from 1 species